rnacentral:rRNA from 1 species
UAGUCCACGCCGUAAACGAUGUUAACUCGCUGUUGGCGAUAUACUGUCAGCGGCCAAGCGAAAGCGUUAAGUUAACCACCUGGGGAGUACGCCCGCAAGGGUGAAACUCAAAGGAAUUGACGGGGGCCCGCACAAGCGGAGGAGCAUGUGGUUUAAUUCGAUGAUACGCGAGGAACCUUACCUGAACUUAAAUGGAGAACGACGGUUGUGGAAACACAUCCUUCUUUUAGACGUUCUUCAAGGUGCUGCAUGGUUGUCGUCAGCUCGUGCCGUGAGGUGUUGGGUUAAGUCCCGCAACGAGCGCAACCCCUAUCGUUAGUUGCCAUCACUUUGGGUGGGGACUCUAACGAGACUGCCUGCGCAAGCAGUGAGGAAGGCGGGGAUGACGUCAAAUCAUCAUGGCCCUUACGUUCAGGGGCUACACACGUGCUACAAUGGCAAGUACAACGGGGCUGCUACUACGCAAGUAGAUGCUAAUCCCC